rnacentral:pre_miRNA from 17 species
GGGCCCACUGUGACAUGGUGUGAGUCCUCGGGCUACAACACAGGACCCGGGCGCUGUUCAGACCCCUCGUGUCUUGUGUUGCAGCCGGAGGGACACAGGUCUGCA